AAUAUUGGACAAUGGGGGCAACCCUGAUCCAGCAAUGCCGCGUGAGUGAAGAAGGCCUNCGGGUUNUNAAGCUCUUUCACCGGUGNAGAUAAUGACGGUAACCGUAGAAGAAGCCCCGGCUAACUACGUGCCAGCAGCCGCGGUAAUACGUAGGGGGCGAGCGUUAUCCGGAAUUAUUGGGCGUAAAGGGUGCGUAGGCGGCUUUUUAAGUCAGAUGUGAAAGGCUACGGCUUAACCGUAGUUAGCAUUUGAAACUAAAAGGCUUGAGUGCAGGAGAGGAGAGUGGAAUUCCUAGUGUAGCGGUGAAAUGCGUAGAUAUUAGGAGGAACACCAGUGGCGAAGGCGACUCUCUGGACUGCAACUGACGCUGAGGCACGAAAGCGUGGGGAGCGAAC
rnacentral:rRNA from 1 species